rnacentral:lncRNA from 1 species
GUGGGUGUCCGGCUCCCAUGGGCACUGAUGCCACAGAAUCUUAUUUUGUAGGCCCCUGCCCCAAGCAAAUGGAGGCCUUAGUCCAGGAGGUCAAGUUCAAGGGGGCUAGGGAUAUAGCUCAGUUGGUAGAGUGUUUGCUUUGCAUGCACAAGGCCCUGGGUUCUAAUCCCCAGCGCACACACACAAAAGGUCAAGUUCAAGAACAAAAAGGCUGCCCCCCAACACACACACACACACAGGGGCAAAAACAAAAUCUACACACACGCAUGCUCGCACACUCGCUCAUACAGGCAUGCACACACCAGCCCUGUCUCAGCACUGUGGGGUGUGUUGAGGACCAGUGGCUAACGAGUAUUGAAUAACUGAACACAAGGGACAUGCUGCUAGGUCUCACCGUCGGAUGGGAGUCCUGCUGUAGCACAGCGUUCGGCAGAACGCAUCCACUGCCACCUCCACUGGCCACCCCAUGAGCAUCACAGUUGCCCAAGCUCUCAGCACCCCUGCAGCCCACAGCCAUAGGCCCACAGGCCACCAAAGGGCUAGAUCUGUGUGUAGGAGGAACGGCCUCUGAAAGGGACUGGUCUCCCUGCUCCAUCGCAGCACCAGCCAACCAGGACACACCUGGACAGUCCCCUUGCUCUGCCCCUGCAGCAUCCUGAGGCUCACUGCAGCUGAGCUCUGUGACCCUAAGGGUGGGAAACUGCAGCUGGACCUCAGGGCCCUCUCAGGACACUACAAAGAGCCCAAGGACACAGGCCUCACUGACAACACCCCAUCUCAGUGUGGCCCUGCUGCCUGUGUGGGUCACACACGUGGGUGGGGCCUCAUCAAGGUGCCAACAUGGAGGAUGGCUAACAUCAGCUGCUCCUGGUCUAUCUCUGGUCAUCCGCAGGGUGCCAGGGCCUUGACCUGUUGAGAUAUAGGCUUGGCCCUCCCCACAGAUGGUUCUAAGUCUGUGACCCAGGAGAAAAGAGCCUAGGGUGGGUACACCUGUAGAGGUGUGCUCUGGGCAGAGAUGUCACAGUGAGGAGGUAAUGGGAGCAGGAACCCUGGUGCCCUCCAGGACAGGGGGUACAGUGCCCUGAGAGAAGCAGAGGUGGCCCUGGAAUGCUGCUACCUGUUGGCAGCAGCUAGGCCCCUGGGUGGCCCCAUGGCUCUGGGCCCCCACUCCUUGUCCUCACAGGGGAGGGCUGACUAUAAACUGGAAGUCUUACGUGAGGAUCUCCAAGUCCAGUUGCACCCCGUCUGGGGCCUGGCAGCUAGUGAGGCUUUGACUUCAU